UAGAGGAGGGACUUGGGUUUAACAUGAUCCUCUGGCCACUGGUGGGGAAGAGGAACUGUAAGGGUCAGAGGCAGGAUGACAAGGGAGGAACCAUCUGCACUUGCCCAGGUGAGCGAGGAUGGUGGAUACUACCCAGGUGGGAGCAGCGGAAAGUAGGAGAUUCUGGAUUUAUUCUGAAGGACUCUUCUGGGCAUGGUGGAUUCAGCAGUGGAAAAAGACAAAAAAUUCCCCACCUUCACAGAGCUGAUAAUCCUGGAGAGCUUGGGGUAAGGGAUACAACGUCAAAAACAGUCUGAAAAGAAGAUACGUGAGCUGAAACAUAAAGAUGUAAAGAUGCCCAAGAGCACUGGGGUAACCUGCCCCAGGUCAGACCACAAAUCCGAAUGCAAGAGAAGGCAAAGCAGAAGGGACGAAUGCUGGAAAGGAGUCCCGGGGUCCUGGUCAUUGUCCU